AAGAACUUCCAUUGACAACAUUCUCUGAAAUUUGUGAUACACAAGAAAAUUUUGAGUGUUUUAGAGUAAAGAGGAUUAUUUUUCACUCAAAUCUAUGGCAAGAACAA